rnacentral:rRNA from 1 species
GACAGAGGUCCCGAGCGUUAGGCGGAAUCACUGGGCUUAAAGCGUGUGUAGGCGGAUGCCUAAGUACCUUGUGAAAUCCCACGGCUCACCCGUGGAACCGCUCGGUAUACUGGGUGUCUUGAGCCACUUAGGGGCUACCGGAACAAAUGGUGGAGCGGUGAAAUGCGUAGAUAUCAUUUGGAACGCCAAUGGUGAAAACAGGUAGCUGGGAGUGUGCUGACGCUGAGACACGAAAGCCAGGGGAGCAAACGGG